rnacentral:lncRNA from 1 species
UCUAAAGUUAUCAAUAUGCUUAACCAAAGUUCUUUUUAUUGCAAAAUUUUUCUCAAAAUAAACAUUUGAAAAGCCUUUGACACAUUAGAUUGGAAAUUUCUACUUAAAAGUGUUGAUUUGCUUUGGUUUUAAUGAUAAAUUUUACAAGUAGAUUAGUACUAUUUUGCAUGCUUCUAUAUGUUGUGAUUAAGAAAGGUGAUCCCUUAUCUUCUCUUUUGUAUAGCCAAGGAGGUCCUUAAUAGAACAAUGAAUAUCCUCACGAAUUUAUUUGACUUAUAUGCUCAAGCAUCAUGACAAAUUAUUAAUCUAAGCAAGUCUCAUAUUUACACAUGUUCUAUUUCUCAAAGAUGGGAGCGUUUGAUUGCAAAUUUGUUGGGUUUCUCUCUAUGUUUGGUAGAAAGCUUCUUAGCGUAUCAUAUUCCUUUUGUAAUUAAUUAACUUAAUUAAGUUAUCCCGUGUAUAAAAGAACUUUUGUGAUGCUAUUCAGACACACAAUUUUAGCAAAUAUAUGUCUCACGUUCUUUAUGAUCCAAUGAUUAAACAAAAAAAUGAAUUUAUCCCACGUACAUUCUACUUGUGCAUAAAUAUGUAUGUUCUCAUCCCAAUGGUGUGUUAUUUUCGUAGAUAAUUUUACAAUGGUAAAAAAUAUAUUGUUUUCCCUUUACAUUGAAAAGUUAGUUAAAUAAUAUUCA